GCUCUGAAGUCCCCUUGUUAUAGGUUCAAUUGUGUCCCCCUCAUCCCCGAUUCAUAUAUUGCUGUCCCUUGGGACCUUAUUUGGAGGUUGGGUCACUGAGAGGCAAUGGAGAUGAACUGUCCUGGAGCAGGAUGGGGCCUCACUCCGCAGGACUAGUGCCCUCCUAGAAAGCAGCCACAUGCACAGACAGACAUGCUUAGAGGAGAGCCCUCAGAGAGGAUCAACCCAGCUGACGCUUUGAGUACGAGCUUCCGGCCUCCAGAACGAGGAGUCUUGCUGUUGUCAGAGUCUUGAUGGAAUUCCUUGAAAAUGAGGGCAUCAUCUUGUGGGUAAGAUCUGAGCAGGCUGCUCAUGCCAGG
ensembl:lncRNA